ACAUUCCUUCUUCAUUCUCUAGCUGUGACUGAAAAACUGUAUCAACCUGUUGCAAGAUCAGAGAACACACAUUUUACACACCCUGGAGCUGAGGCACAGAAGCUGAAAGAUUCAUUCAGUGCUGCAUAAGAAAUGUUUGACUGCAGAUCACGAUCCAUUGUUGGUUGUGAAAGGCAUUACCACCACCAAUGAAUGGCUUG
rnacentral:lncRNA from 1 species